GGAGGAAUAUUGGUCAAUGGGGGAAACCCUGAACCAGCAACGCCGCGUGAAGGAAGAAGGCCUUCGGGUUGUAAACUUCUGUUUUAGGGGAAGAAAACAAUGACGGUACCCUAAGAGGAAGCCACGGCAAACUACGUGCCAGCAGCCGCGGUAAGACGUAGGUGGCAAGCGUUGUCCGGAAUCACUGGGCGUAAAGGGCGCGUAGGCGGCUUUACAAGUUGUAUGUGAAAUACCUUUGCUUAACGAAGGGAGUGCAUACAAAACUGUAAGGCUUGAGUGCAGUAGAGGGAAGCGGAAUUCCUGGUGUAGCGGUAGAAUGCGUAGAGAUCAGGAGGAACACCGGUGGCGAAGGCGGCUUUCUGGGCUGCAACUGACGCUGAGGCGCGAAAGCGUGGGGAGCAAACA
rnacentral:rRNA from 1 species